AUUGCUCCAAGAUGGCGGCGGCGGCGGCAGCGGGAGCGCAGCUCAGCUGGGCUGGAACUGCCCUCCUGGAACUCCCCCAGCCUGCAACCUAGGAGGUGCAGGGACUGAGGCUCAGGCCAAAUCACAACUCAGACCUGGUGAACCCAAGGCCUGAAGAGAAUUUGGAUUCAUUUACAUUGUUUUGUGGGGACUGGAGAGACAAGUAAACUCUCAGCUUAACUGUCCCCUCCCGGUCUGACUACCAUUUCUAAGGGCAAUCAAGGAUCGUUUUUGUUGCUGUUGUUGUUGUUGUUUCUGAGACAGGGUCUCACUCUGUCACCCAGGCUGGAGUGCAGUGGCACAGUCUUGGCUCACUGCAGCCUCAACUUCCCAGGCUCAGGCGAUUCUCCCACCUCAGCCUCCCGAGUAGCUGGGACUACAGAU
rnacentral:sRNA from 1 species